rnacentral:rRNA from 1 species
GACGAACGCUGGCGGCGUGCUUAACACAUGCAAGUCGAACGAUGAAGCCGGAGCUUGCUCCGGUGAAUUAGUGGCGAACGGGUGAGUAACACGUGAGUAACCUGCCCUUGACUCUGGGAUAACUGCGGGAAACUGUAGCUAAUACCGGAUACGACCCUCGGAGGCAUCUCCUGUGGGUGGAAAGAAUUUCGGUCAAGGAUGGACUCGCGGCCUAUCAGCUAGUUGGUGAGGUAAAGGCUCACCAAGGCGACGACGGGUAGCCGGCCUGAGAGGGUGACCGGCCACACUGGGACUGAGACACGGCCCAGACUCCUACGGGAGGCAGCAGUGGGGAAUAUUGCGCAAUGGGCGCAAGCCUGAUGCAGCAACGCCGCGUGAGGGAUGACGGCCUUCGGGUUGUAAACCUCUUUUAGUAGGGAAGAAGCGAAAGUGACGGUACCUGCAGAAAAAGCACCGGCUAACUACGUGCCAGCCGCCGCGGUAA